UAGUGAGUUAUCUCAAUUGAUUGU
rnacentral:piRNA from 1 species